GAAUGCACUUGAGCAGCGGUCUCCAACCACAGGGCCACAGAGCUGGAGCUGGAUCUACCAUGAAAGACCUCUGAAUCCAGGAAGAGAGACUGACUGAGCAACAUGUUAGGUCUCCAUCUGUUGUCCAAGGCUGGAGUGUAGUAGUGCUAUCACAGCUGACUGCAGCCUCAACCUUCCAGGCUGAAGCGAUUACAGGUGCUUGCCACUAUGCCCAACUAAUAUUUGGAAUUUUCGUAUACGUGGAUUCCAGAGGGGUGACAGUGAAACGUGUGGGACCAUCCAGUUGCAGGAAAACAAGCUUAAGACGCCCACUGAUUCUACAUUAUGGUCUCCUACCUCCCGGCAGCCUCUCCAGGCCCAGAACUUUCUCCAAUCAGCCUCUACAGACCAAGCUCAUGACUCACAAUGGCCUAUUUAGGCCCAUACCCUACGUCACGGCAGUCUCCGCAGAUGAGCCUACUGCCCCACAACAGCCUCCACAGGCACAGCUCCAUCGUUACAAUGGCCUCUUUAGACCCAGCUCCUGCCUCCCAGCCUUC
rnacentral:lncRNA from 1 species